GAGCGGCGAACGGGUGAGUAACACGUGAGUAACCUGCCCCUGACUCUGGGAUAAGCCUGGGAAACUGGGUCUAAUACCGGAUAUGACACAUGACGGCAUCGUUGGUGUGUGGAAAGUUUUUCGGUUGGGGAUGGACUCGCGGCCUAUCAGCUUGUUGGUGGGGUAAUGGCCUACCAAGGCGACGACGGGUAGCCGGCCUGAGAGGGCGACCGGCCACACUGGGACUGAGACACGGCCCAGACUCCUACGGGAGGCAGCAGUGGGGAAUAUUGCGCAAUGGGCGAAAGCCUGACGCAGCGACGCCGCGUGGGGGAUGACGGCCUUCGGGUUGUAAACCUCUUUCAGCAGGGACGAAGUUGACGUGUACCUGCAGAAGAAGCGCCGGCUAACUACGUGCCAGCAGCCGCGGUAAUACGUAGGGCGCAAGCGUUGUCCGGAAUUAUUGGGCGUAAAGAGCUCGUAGGUGGCUUGUCACGUCGGGUGUGAAAGCUUGGGGCUUAACUCCAGGUCUGCAUUCGAUACGGGCUGGCUAGAGGUAGGUAGGGGAGAACGGAUUNCU
rnacentral:rRNA from 1 species